AGAAUCAACGCUGGCGGCGUCGCCUAAACACAUGCAAGUCGGAACGAGAAGUGGAGCAAUCCAUGAGUAAAGUGGCGCACGGGUGAGUAACACGUGACUAACCUACCCUUGAGUGGGGAAUAACUUCGGGAAACCGAGGCUAAUACCGCAUAACACCUACGGGUCAAAGGAGCAAUUCGCUUAAGGAGGGGUCGCGGCAGAUUAGUUAGUUGGCGGGGUAAUGGCCCACCAAGACGGUGAUCUGUA
rnacentral:rRNA from 1 species